UUGAAAAUAAAACUUGGUUGGGUUGUUGCUGGCUCUCAGGAGCAUGUGCACACUUGACUCCGUUUUUUUAAACCACCUGUGCACACACUGUAGGCCUGAAUAAACUUUGUCGGGGAUAAUAACUCGGUUUGAGAACUGCCUUUGGCUGUUCUUGUGUUCUCAGGUCUAUGUUUUUAAAUCAUAUACUCUAUAACAAGUAAUAGAAUGUCAAUUUUAGGCCUUCUGUGCCUUUAAAACUUAAUACAACUUUCAACAACGGAUCUCUUGGCUCUCGCAUCGAUGAAGAACGCAGCGAAAUGCGAUAAGUAAUGUGAAUUGCAGAAUUCAGUGAAUCAUCGAAUCUUUGAACGCACCUUGCGCUCCUUGGUAUUCCGAGGAGCAUGCCUGUUUGAGUGUCAUGAAAUUCUCAACCUUUCUGGCUUUUAAUUGAGCUGGUCAGGAUUGGAUUGUGGGAGUUGCUGGCUUCUUUUUGAAUGAUCAGCUCUUCUUAAAUGCAUUAGCGAAAAUUCUUGGCUUGAUUAUCUUUGGUAUGAUAAAUUAUCUACACCAUUGAGAAAUAGCUUUUUCUACUUUUAAAAGGUUUUCAGGCUCCACUUGGAGAUUUAUAUUCUCAAAGUGUUCGAAUCAACCGUUCUGAAGCACCAGCUUUGGCACAGAUGUUAAUUCAUCUGAUGGUGUUGAAUAUUUCAGGUUGACGAAGCGAGGUGUUUCUUUUUUGAAGCGCUCACGAGAGCAAGCAAACGUCAGAGCUUUAUUGCAUUGAUGUGUGCACUGUCAUAUUCCUGUACCUACCCUAGCUACUAUGUGGCUUUGAUGGGUUUGGUCAAACCAUGACCUGAACAUAUUCUUUUAUUAGUGGAAGGACUUUUUUUGCUUCUAAUACAGGACAAUGUCCUUUUUUUGACAAU
rnacentral:misc_RNA from 1 species